AUUAGCAUGCUAGCAGCAAGCUGUCAAAGCUAACUAACUUACAGUUGCCAUAGCAUUACUGCACGCGCCUGUGCUAACUAACUCUGUAUGUAACGGUUGAGCACGACCGUUACCGUAGUGAUAUUGUUUUUGACAGUUACUUUGCGUCGCUCUGACAACGCUGCGUGGUGGUUGAGAGAGAUGUUGAGGGUCCGCAUGCUGGCGAACUCUGUGACCUCGCAGGUGACGUUGCUCCCCUUGCAGAGCGCCAGCGUGCGGCCGAUGCCUUCAGUGCCCGUGGCGUCCUUCACAUUCUGCAGGCCCUUUGCCCAGGCGGACGAACACACCAGCCACAGAAAGACCAGGAUCGCUGUGAUCACAAAGUC